UACGUAGGGUGCGAGCGUUAAUCGGAAUUACUGGGCGUAAAGCGUGCGCAGGCGGUUUUGUAAGCCAGAUGUGAAAUCCCCGGGCUUAACCUGGGAAUGGCAUUUGGGACUGCAAGGCUUGAGUGCGGCAGAGGAGACUGGAAUUCCUGGUGUAGCAGUGAAAUGCGUAGAUAUCAGGAGGAAUACCGAUGGCGAAGGCGGGUCUCUGGGCCGAUACUGACGCUGAGGAGCGAAAGCGUGGGGAGCGAACAGG
rnacentral:rRNA from 1 species